rnacentral:tRNA from 2 species
AGUCUCGUAGCUCAGCUGGUUAGAGCACUACACUGAUAAUGUAGGGGUCGGCGGUUCAAGUCCGCCCGAGACUA